rnacentral:tRNA from 1 species
CGAUUAGCUCAGUUGGUUAGAGCAUCUGCCUUACAAGCAGGAGGUCACAAGUUCGAGUCCUGUAUCGCC